AGGGCAGCUGGCCCGGCCGCUGCGGGUGGGGGAAUCCUGAAGCCUUCUUAGGCCCCGGAGUGGCUCCAUUCCAUGACGCACUUUCUCGGUUGCUCGGAAUCCUGCCUCCUUAGUGUCAGUGUGGGAGAGAACUAGCUUCACAAAAGCCUUGAAAACCAGCAGCCUCACAAGUCACAGUUGCUUUGAAAACCAGCAGCCUUGCAGGCACUGAAGAAGGCGGAAUGGGUUUAGAGUUCUCCAAAACUUUCAGCUCGAGAAUUGUUACUAUUUGACUUGUCUGACAGUUCACUGGAAACCCCAUUCAUAGGGCUUGUCUUUUUUCACCUGACUUGGAGUUUAUUCACUGCAAACAGUGUUUUUUCCCUGGUGCAUUUGUUGAAAAUAAUCAGCAGCACUUGUUUGACAUAACAUGGAGUGCGUAACAGCUGUAUGCCAAAAAUGACAUAAACCAGAUGAAAUGGACACACUUAUAGAAAGACAAAAAUUACCAAAACUAAGUCAAGAAAAAAUAAAAAAUCUGAAAAGUCCUGUAACAGGAGAUUGAACUAGUGAUUUUAAAACUUCCUGCAAAGAAAAAGUCCAGGCCCAGAUGGCUUCAAUUGUGCAUUCUACCAAACAUUUAAAGAAAAAGAUAGAAUUAAUCUUUCACAAACUCUUCCAAAAUACAAAAGAGGAGGGAUCACUUCCCAAUACAUUGGAUGAGGCCACAUUAUCCUCAUACCAAACCCCCCCGCAAAAAAAAACUCAAGAAAACUACAGACCCAUAUAGAACCCUUAUGAAUAUUGAUGCAGAAAUCCUCAAGAAAAUACUACAAAAUGAAUCCAGUGACAUGAAAAAUUAUAGAUUGUGAUCAAGUGGGAUUUAUGCUGAAAAUGUAAGGUCAGGACUCCUGACUCAACAUCAUUCACCAUGUUAAUAGAAUGAAGGAAAAAAACACACAACCACAUCAGUAAACACAGAGAAAGCAUUUGACAAAAUGCAACUUCUCUUCACUAUAAACACUCAGAAACUAUGAAUAGAAAGGCACUUCCUCAACCUGAUAAAGGUCAUUAAAUGAAAAACCUGCAACUAACAUCUGACUUAAUGGUGAAAGGCUGAAUGCUUUUCUGCCAUGACAUGACAAGGAUGUCCAUUCUCAACAUUUCUAUUCAACACUGUACUGGAGGUUCUCGUUAGGGAAUUUAGGUAGGAAAAACAGUAAGUGGCAAAAGAAGUAAGACUAUAUUCCCAGAUAACAUGAUCAUGUAUAUAGAAAAUCCUAAGGAAUACAUACACACACAUACCCUAUUAGACUAAAUGUUGAACAGUUUUGCAGUAUGCAAGAUAAAUGGGCAAUGAAUGAUGCAAACAUGAAGAAAAACAAUUCCAUUUAUAAUAGCAUCAAAAAGAAUAACGAAGUUUAAAACGUACUCUGGAAAUUGCAAAAACACUACUGAAAGAAAUUAAAGAAGACCCAAAUAAAUGGAAAGACAUCCCAUGUUCAUGGUUUGAGAGACUUAAUAUUUUUAAGAUGAAAGUAUUCCUCAAAUUGAUCUACAGAUUGAACACAAUCCCCAACAGAAUCCCAGCUGGGGCCUUUGCAGAGAUUGGCAAGCUUGUCCUCAAAUUCAUACAGAAAUUUAAGGGACCCUUAGCCGGGUGAGGUGGCGGGCGCCUGUGGUCCCAGCUACUCGGGAGGCUGAGGCAGGAGAAUGGCGUGAACCCGGGAGGCGGAGCUUGCAGUGAGCUGAGAUCCGGCCACUGCACUCCAGCCUGGGUGACAGAGCGAGACUCCGUCUCAAAAAAAAAAAAAAAAAAGAAAUUUAAGGGACCCUGAGUAGGCAAACUAAUCUUUAAAAAGAAAAGCCAAGUUGGAUGACUCAUACGUCCUGAUUAAAAACUACAAAGCUGUAAUAAUCAAGACUGUGUGGUGCUGGCAUAAGGACAGACAUCUGGAUCAGUGGAAUAGAACUGAUAGUCCAGAAAUAUACUCUCAUAUUUACGGUCAAUUGAUUUUCUAUAUUGUGCUAAAACAACUCAGUGAGGAAAAGAAUAGUCUUUUAAACAAGUGGUGCUGGGAGAACUGGGCAUUUACAUGCCAAAAUAUGAAUUUGGAUCCUUUCCACAUAAAGUAUACUACUAUAACUCAAAAUGGAUCACAGACGUAAUAUUAGAGCUAAAACUCUGAAAUUCUAGAAUAUAGGAGUAAAUCUUUGUGACCUUGUAUAUGGCACCAAAAGCUCAAACAAUAAAAGAAAAGAUGGAUAAACUGGACCUCACCUAAAUUAAAUUUUUUUAUACUUCAAAGGACAUCAUCAGGAUAGUGAAAAGAUACUCAUGGAAUGGGAGACUAUAUUUGUAAAUUAUAUAUCAGAUAAGGAAAGAACUCUUACAACUCAAAAAGACAUAACCCUACUUAAAAAAAAUGGGCAGAGGAACUAUGUAGAUAUUUCUCUGGAGAAGAUAUGCAAAUGGCCAAUUAGUACAUGAAAAGAUCCUCAUUAUUACUUUUAGAUAAAUGUAACUUAAGACUACAAUGAGAUACCACUUCAUUCCUACUGGGACAGUUAUAAUCAAAAAGAACAACAAAUGUGGAUAUGGAUGUGAAGACAUUGGAACCCUCAUAUAUGAAAAUGUGAAAUGUUACAGCCACUUGGAAAAUGGUCUUGUAAUUCCUUAAAUGAUUAAAUGGAAAUAACCCAGUUAUUUCACCCCUUAGUAUAUGCCCCACAAACGAAAAUACAUGUUCCUUAAAAACUUGUACACAAAUGUUUAUAACACCAUUAUUCAUAAUAGCCAAAAAGUGGAAACCACCCAAAUGUCCAUUAGUUGACUAAUGUGUAAACAAACUCUGGUAUAGUGGAAUAAAAUUAGUCAAUAAAAAGGAAUCAAGUACUGACAAAUGCUACAGCAUGGAUGAACCUUGAAAAUAUAAGUAAAAGAAGACAGUCAUAAAAGACCACGUGUUGUAUGAUUCCAUUUAUAUAAAAUGUCCAGAAUAUGCAAAUCCAUAGAGACUGAAAUCAAAUUAGUGAUUUUCUAGGGUUGGGGGAAGGAGGAAACAGGGAAUGACUGCUAAUGUAUUCAGGAUUUCUUUCUGGGGUGAUGAAUGUCUUCUGGAAUUAGAUAGUAGUAAUCAAUACACAACUUUGUGAAUACAUGAAAACCACUGAAUUUCACACUUUAAAAGUGAGUUUUAUGAUAGGGAAUUAUGUAUCAAUAAAAGUAUUUUUAAAAUCUUAAACAUGAACAUAUUUCGUGAGAAGUCCACAGUAGUAUCUUUUAACUUGUUAUGUUCAAAAGAUAUAUAUAUAUUUUUUUAACAGCAAGGGGGAAAAGUGAGGAAAUGAUGCUUUUCACCAUCAUUGGGAAAACUGCCUAUGUAACCAUGUUUUACUCCUACUGCCUCUCUUACCUCCCCUUACUGCUCCAGACUCUGAGGCUGCAAGACACCCAAGUGGGAGUUUGGAACUUCCAAGGCACAGUCUUUUUAUCCACUAGCAAAUUCAUUUUUAACCACAAAGGUCUGAGGGCACACUCUUACUACAUUCAGUACACGUCUUGGGCAUUCAAUUUCUAUCAUCUAGAGCAUCAUAUAGUGGCAAGGCCCUAGUUAGAUUUAUCUCUGGUGCCUUUCCAGCUUUCAUUUCUGUUCCACUCUUCCACAUCCUAGAGACUCAGGGGCUCUUAGAUGUCUUCUGAUCUCAGGAGCUUAUACCAGACCUGGCCGCAUCUGCACCACAGUCCCAAGAUCAGAAUUACUCGCCUUUUCUCCCACCUGAUCAAAACUAUUUCUGGUUGUCUCUGCUUCUGAUUUUAAUUAAUUAAAAUUAUUCAUGCUAAAGCUGAAGGUAAGAAUUCCUAAUUAAAACUAAUUUCUUAAAUGUAUUUAUUUUAUGAAGGUAUUUCCUAGCUUUAUUCACUGAAAAGGCAAAAACAGUGACAAACUGAAAAAAAAUGAGCCCCCCACUAAGGAGUCUCUAAAAACAUUUCUUUAAAAGAACCAGAGCCCGUUGAGAGGAAUGUGUGAUUCCAACUCAGGGGCAGAAAACAUUUAAAAUCAGUCUAGAAUAUCUUGUCAGAAAGAAAGCUAUCAAUGACCACUAAGGAUGUGUUGAAAGGACUCGACAGCCAAUUUAGAAGGGUUCCUAAUAACUAAAGAUGGGAUUAAAAGGAACAACUGAAAUAGUCUAGAGCACAUCACGUGUAAAAAUGCAACAUAAGGCAGUUGCAAGAAAACCAAUUUGUUCAUUUGAAAACUGGCAAAGGGCAAUAAUCCAGCAUUUAUUCCACAUUUUCUGCGUGAUUUAUGCCUUAAGAUAACCAAAUAGUUAAUGUGAAAGGGGAGAAUACCACCAUUUCGCAAUCCCUAAUGAAAUAAAUGGAUCUAGGUAAUAAUCACCAUUGUCUGCUAAAAAAAAAAAAAAAGAAAUUAGAUGAAAGGUUGAUGGGGAACCUUAUGAAAGGUGAAUCAGACUGAUAGCAUCUACUGAUCAAUCUUAAUAUGAAAGACAAAAUUGGCAUAUGCCUAUUGAUGUGGCAUAAUAAGACAUACACAGUACCUAUCACCUAUGACAUUCUUGCUAAAAGAUCUAAUCUGAAUCUUUCAGGCCUCAAAAAUCUGUUUACAAGGAAUAGAGGAGUUUGGAGAAUAUGUUGGAUAACACCAUGGGGGUGUGAUAAGCAAAAUGUAAAAUUGAGGGACACUCUAUAGGACUAAUGACUGGUUUCUUUAACAAAUAAAUGAUUUUUAAAAAUGUAAGAGGAGAGACCUAUAGAUUUAAAGAAACUCAGGAAGCAUUAGCCAUAUUCAGUUUGUGCACCUAUUUUGAAUAAGCCAACUGUAAAAAAAAAAAAAAAAAAAAAAAA